AUCAUACUUCCUCCGUCCGAAAAUACUUGUCGGAGAAAUGGAUGUAUCUAGACACAUUUCAGUUUUAGAUACAUCCAUUUUGAUCCAUUUCUUCGAUAAGUAUUUCUGGACGGAGGAAGUAGAAU
rfam:Triticum aestivum genome assembly, contig: Triticum_aestivum_CS42_TGACv1_scaffold_232186_3B